UACUAGAGUAGCACUCGCAUAUCAAUAAGCGGAGGAAAAGAAACUAACUAAGGAUUCCCCUUAGUAACGGCGAGUGAAGCGGGAAGAGCUCAAAUUUGAAAUCUUAAAGGGUUUCCCUUUACGAAUUGUAGUUUAAAGAAGUGUUUUCUGUUGAGGUUUUGGUAAAAGUUCUUUGGAAUAGGACAGUCAUAGAGGGUGAGAAUCCCGUAUUUGACCUUUACUUUCAACUUUGUGAUACACUUUCAAAGAGUCGGAUUGUUUGGGAAUGCAGUCCAAAAUGGGUGGUAAAUUUCAUCUAAAGCUAAAUAUUGGCGAGAGACCGAUAGCGAACAAGUACCGUGAGGGAAAGAUGAAAAGAACUUUGAAAAGAGAGUUAAACAGUACGUGAAAUUGUCAAAAGGGAAGCGUUUGACACCAGAGUUGUUUUUCUGAAAAUCAAUUAAAGAACUGUUUAUGCUAAGUUGUUUAGACUUUAUCAGCUAACUGUUUAGUUUUGAGCUUUUCUUUAAUGCACUUUUCAGUUAACAAGUCAACAUCAAUUUCUUUUGCUGUAAAAAAGCUUGAGGAAGGUGGCUUGAGAUUCGUCUUAAGUGUUUAUAGCCUCUUGCCUAUGCAGUCGGAGAGAUUGAGGUCUGCAGCGUAGAUCCUUCGGGGCUAAAUGCAUUUGUGCUAAGUUAUAGCAUUUUAUAGACAACUUGUUGACUAUGAUUUGUCUUGUAGCUUACUCGCUUAUGUUAUUUUACCUACGCUUAGGAUGUUGAGCGCAUGUCUCUCUCU
rnacentral:rRNA from 1 species